UACGGGGGGAGCAAGCGUUGUUCGGAUUUACUGGGCGUAAAGGGCGCGUAGGCGGCCUGCUAAGUCGAACGUGAAAUCCCCGGGCUCAACCCGGGAACUGCAUCUGAAACUGCAGUCCUUGAGUAUCGGAGAGGGUGGCGGAAUUCCUGGUGUAGAGGUGAAAUUCGUAGAUAUCAGGAGGAACACCGGUGGCGAAGGCGGCCACCUGGACGAUUACUGACGCUGAGACGCGAAAGCGUGGGGAGCAAACAGG
rnacentral:rRNA from 1 species